GAUGAACGCUGGCGGCGUGCCUAAUACAUGCAAGUCGAGCGAACGGACGAGAAGCUUGCUUUUCUGAUGUUAGCGGCGGACGGGUGAGUAACACGUGGAUAACCUACCUAUAAGACUGGGAUAACUUCGGGAAACCGGAGCUAAUACCGGAUAAUAUUUUGAACCGCAUGGUUCAUAAGUGAAAGACGGUCUUGCUGUCACUUAUAGAUGGAUCCGCGCUGCAUUAGCUAGUUGGUAAGGUAACGGCUUACCAAGGCAACGAUGCAUAGCCGACCUGAGAGGGUGAUCGGCCACACUGGAACUGAGACACGGUCCAGACUCCUACGGGAGGCAGCAGUAGGGAAUCUUCCGCAAUGGGCGAAAGCCUGACGGAGCAACGCCGCGUGAGUGAUGAAGGUCUUCGGAUCGUAAAACUCUGUUAUUAGGGAAGAACAUAUGUGUAAGUAUCUGUGCACAUCUUGACGGUACCUAAUCAGAAAGCCACGGCUAACUACGUG
rnacentral:rRNA from 1 species